UACGUAGGGGGCAAGCGUUGUCCGGAAUUAUUGGGCGUAAAGAGCGCGUAGGCGGUCCGAUAAGUCGGCUGUGAAAGUCAGGGGCUCAACCCUUGAAAGCCGGCCGAUACUGUCGGACUAGAGUCCGGAAGAGGCAAGUGGAAUUCCCGGUGUAGCGGUGAAAUGCGCAGAUAUCGGGAGGAACACCAGUGGCGAAGGCGACACACUGGGCCGUACCUGACACUGAUGCGCGACAGCAUGGGGAGCAAACAGG
rnacentral:rRNA from 1 species